GCGGGUAUCGUAUAGUGGCAAUACUCGAUCCUUCCAAGAUCGCGACAGGGGUUCGACUCCCCUUACCCGCUCCA
rnacentral:tRNA from 1 species